AUGAGCUGCAUAAGCUGAAACUGCCGGGGGCUUGGGAACCCCGAGGCAGUUCGAGAGCUUCGCAAUAUUGUGAAGCAAGAGUUACCCAUCCUACUCUUUAUCAUGGAAACUAAAAUAUCAGCGAAAAGAGUAGAGAGCCUGCAACAUUCGCUGGGAUUUGCAGGAUGUUUUGCAGUCAAUAGCACGGGAUUGAGCGGCGGCAUCGGACUAUUUUGGUCCCGGGAUGUG
rnacentral:rRNA from 1 species